GAGGUCUCUGAAUUGCCUCCAGCACAGCAGUGUGCAAUCAGGAACUCCAUCACACGACCUAAAAACUUGUUGAGUCUCUCCAAAAAGACUUAGCCUGCUACAAGAUACUGAGGGGGAUUGAGAUGCACUUCCAGAGGGCCUGAGAUUCUAGAAGCCCAGCAUCCACCAGAUGCCUGCUGAAGUCGAUGGCUGCUGCACACUCUGCUGAGGAAUCAGAUUUCUGAAGGUCCUUCAUAAAUACUUCAGUCUGCAAAGAUGAACAAGAGGAGCCCGAAGAAUGUCGUAUGAAAUGAAGACUGAGAUACUGAGAUUCUCUCAAAACAGCCUCAGGUGAACCAGGAGAAUAAGCAGUUCACGUCGGUGCCUGGAACCUGGAAGAGCCAUCCUUGCAUGACCAACUCCACUGUACUACCUUA
rnacentral:lncRNA from 1 species